GACGAACCGAGCGAACGUUGUUCGGAAUCACUGGGCUUAAAGGGCGCGUAGGCGGGCUGUCAAGUCUGGGGUGAAAUCCCGCGGCUCAACCGUGGAACUGCCUUAGAUACUGACGGCCUCGAGGGAGAUAGGGGCGAGCGGAACUGUGAGUGGAGCGGUGAAAUGCGUUGAUAUUCACAGGAACUCCGGUGGCGAAGGCGGCUCGCUGGAUCUCUUCUGACGCUGAGGCGCGAAAGCCAGGGGAGCAAACGGG
rnacentral:rRNA from 1 species